rnacentral:rRNA from 1 species
GAUGGAUUGGUGCCUUCGGGAACUGUGAGACAGGUGCUGCAUGGCUGUCGUCAGCUCGUGUUGUGAAAUGUUGGGUUAAGUCCCGCAACGAGCGCAACCCUUAUCCUUUGUUGCCAGCGGUUCGGCCGGGAACUCAAAGGAGACUGCCAGUGAUAAACUGGAGGAAGUGGGAUGACGUCAAGUCAUCAUGGCCCUUACGACCAGGGCUACACACGUGCUACAAUGGCAUAUACAAAGAGAAGCGACCUCGCGAGAGCAAGCGGACCUCAUAAAGUAUGUCGUAGUCCGGAUUGGAGUCUGCAACUCGACUCC